GAUGAACGCUGGCGGCGUGCUUAACACAUGCAAGUCGAACGGAAAGGCUCCAGCUUGCAGGGGUACUCGAGUGGCGAACGGGUGAGUAACACGUGGGUGAUCUGCCCUGCACUUCGGGAUAAGCCUGGGAAACUGGGUCUAAUACCGGAUAGGACGAUGGUUUGGACGCCAUUGUGGAAAGUUUUUUCGGUGUGGGAUGAGCUCGCGGCCUAUCAGCUUGUUGGUGGGGUAAUGGCCUACCAAGGCGUCGACGGGUAGCCGGCCUGAGAGGGUGUACGGCCACAUUGGGACUGAGAUACGGCCCAGACUCCUACGGGAGGCAGCAGUGGGGAAUAUUGCACAAUGGGCGCAAGCCUGAUGCAGCGACGCCGCGUGGGGGAUGACGGCCUUCGGGUUGUAAACUCCUUUCGCUAGGGACGAAGCGCAAGUGACGGUACCUGGAGGAGAAGCACCGGCUAACUACGUG
rnacentral:rRNA from 1 species